rnacentral:rRNA from 1 species
AGUGAACGCUGGCGGUAGGCCUAACACAUGCAAGUCGAACGGCAGCACAGUAAGAGCUUGCUCUUACGGGUGGCGAGUGGCGGACGGGUGAGGAAUACAUCGGAAUCUACUUUUUCGUGGGGGAUAACGUAGGGAAACUUACGCUAAUACAGCAUAUGACCUACGGGUGAAAGCAGGGGAUCUUCGGACCUUGCGCGUUUGAAUGAGCCGAUGUCGCAUUAGCUAGUUGGCGGGGUAAAGGCCCACCAAGGCGACGAUCCGUAGCUGGUCUGAGAGGAUGAUCAGCCACACUGGAACUGAGACACGGUCCAGACUCCUACGGGAGGCAGCAGUGGGGAAUAUUGGGCAAAGGGCGCAAGCCUGACCCAGCCAUACCGCGUGGGUGAAGAAGGCCUUCGGGUUGUAAAGCCCUGUUGUUGGGAAAGAAAAGCAGCAGGUUAAUACCCCGCUGUUCUGACGGUACCCAAAGAAUAAGCACCGGCUAACUUCGUG